ensembl:lncRNA
UAGUGUGUGUGUUACAGUGUGUGUGUAUUACAGUGUGUGUUGUACGUCGUGUGUGUAUUACAGUGUGUGUAUUACAGUGUGUGUAUUACAGUGUGUGUAUUACAGUGUGUGUAUUACAGUGUGUGUUGUACUGUGUGUGUGUAUUACAGUGUGUGUAGUACAGUGUGUGUGUGUAGUACAGUGUGUGUGUGUGUAUUACAGUGUGUGUAUUACAGUGUGUGUAGUACAGUGUGUGUGUGUAGUACAAUGUGUGUGUGUGUGUGUAGUACAGUGUGUGUAUUACAGUGUGUGUAUUUCAGUGUGUGUAUUACAGUGUGUGAUUAUAAGGAGGAAUUUUGGGGUGUUUACAUAAAUGGAAUGAUUAGAGAUGAUUAGACGUGAGGAGAUUUGAUCAUUAGACGAGCAGCUGUUAAAUUGGAGGCCGGGGGAGAUACAUUAGUGUAGAGGUUAUUAAUGGGGUGAAUAAAAGUUUGUUGAGUUACAUUAAGGAUUUAAAUUCCAAUUUCGAGGAUUUUAGGAGGUUUACAGCGUAUUAGAUGAGGUAUAGGAGGUUGGAUAAGAAGUUUGCGAGUGGAUGUGUCUGGAUACGUGAAUUAGAGCAGAAUUUGGGUAAAUGAAUGAACUGAAAUGAACAGCACACAGAAAUACACCUCAUAAGCACUUACCACACAGAUAUCAGCGGUUAUAUCAUAGAGAACAGGGCGGGAUGUAAGAUGGAGCCCUGAGGGACACCUGCGGAUUCACCAUUACACCACACACUGAGGUCUGCAGGAGGAAGAAGAAGCGUGUAGAGGGAUUUUGUGUCGAUAAACCGAGCUGCACAAUGUUCAUUAUUUAAACCUUUAAUGAGGUGAUAUAUAACGAGUUAUAUACAGCAGUGAGAGUUUGGGAUAAAGAUGUGGGAAGAUGAAGGGGAACAUGAGGGUGUGCUUUUAAAAAUGACAGGAAUUUGGGAUCAACUAGAAGCAGACUGGGUACGUUACGCAGACGGUUGUAACAUUAGAUUAGCUAAUAUCAGUUGAUUUAGACUUUGGUGUGGAGAAAUGAUUAGAGUUUGCUAGAUAAUUUACAGAUUUAUUAAAUGUUUAAAAUAAGAGGGUUUAGUAAAGUGGGAUUUGGAGUCAAUUACAGUAAAGCUAUAUAAUGAAUUAUUAUUAAUCUGUUAUAGAACCCUAUAAUAAAGUUCCACAUAGAACUUCUAACCACUCAAAGAACACCUGUAGAACCACUGUAGAACACCUGUAGAACCCCCGUAGAACCCCUGUAGAACCC